GGGGGCGUGGCGAAAUUGGUAGACGCACUGGAUUUAGGUUCCAGCGCCGCAAGGUGUAAGAGUUCGAGUCUCUUCGCCCCCC
rnacentral:tRNA from 1 species